rnacentral:lncRNA from 1 species
GCUUCACAUUUACAUUUUGGUGGUGAGGAAGUAAAUGCUCAUCACUUUCCUGAGAUUUGAAGUGAAAAUAUAUUUUGGAAGUAAUUAUUACAAAUAUCACUACUCUAUUACAACAUGUAUUUUCCUUAUCUAUUUACAAUUUUCCUUAUCUACUCUGUUGCAGCUACAUGUCAACAAAGAGAAAGAAAUAAAAGGUUUGGGAGCAGUAAUGGUUCGACACAAGAUUGGUACGAACCUAUCUUAAUUUUAUUCUUUCUGGCCAUUUAAGUGACUUAUUUUGUACUAUUUGAACGGUGCCACACUUCAAAAAGAAAGAAAGAAAUAUCAAACAAGGCAAGAAAGAGGCAGAAAAUGUCAAAAAGGAACUCCCAAAAGAGCUACACAUUGUUGAUUAUAAAAUCUCAAGAUGACAUUAAAUCAUUCUGUUGGCUGUUGAGGUUUGUCCUACUUGCUCCUAGUUAAGAGAUGAUUUUGAGUAGAUCCUCUGCAUUAUUGUUCACUUUUUCCUUUUAUAGAUUUUCUGAAAACUAUGUACUUAAACUAGUUUUGAUGUUUGGUGAUUCGUGUGAAAAUAACCAAACAUCAGAACCAGUUUAAGUACACAUUUUCAGAAAAUCUAUAAAAGGAAAAAGGGAACAAUAAUGCAGAGGAUCUACUCAAAAUCAUCUCUUAACUAGGAGCAAGUAGGACAAACCUCAACAGCCAACAUGAUGAUUUAAUGUCAUCUUGAGAUUUUAUAAUCAACAAUGUGUAGCUCUUUUGAGAGAGUUCCUUUUUGGCAUUUUCUGCCUCUUUCUUGCCUUGCUUGAUAUUUCUUUCUUUCUUUUUGAAGUGUGACACCGUUCAAAUAGUACAAAAUAAGUCACUUAAAUGGCCAGAAAGAAUAAAAUUAAGAUAGGUUCAUACCAAUCUUGUGUCGAACCAUUACUGCUCUCAAACCUUUUAUUUCUGUCUUUUUGUUGACAUGUAGCUGCAACAGAGUAGAUAAGGAAAAUUGUAAAUAGAUAAGGAAAAUACAUGUUGUAGUAGAGUAGUGAUAUUUGUAAUAAUUACUUCUAAAAUAUAUUUUCACUUCAAAUCUUAGGAAAGUGAUGAACAUUUACUUCAAAUAUAUUUUCACUUUUGUUAGCUGCAAGGUUGCAUUGGAUGAAACGGUUAAAUUCAUACAAAUAUUAGUAGGGGAUGAAUCAGAACGGUGAACAAUAACUAUUUCCUUUUUCAAAGUUAUAACCUCAUGUGUUUCAUUCUUAUUGCUAAUAAUGCGCCAAAGAGUGCGACUUUGCCAAUUACAAUAUGUAAUAUACCCUUAUUUUAAUGUUCACGUGUAAAAGGCAAAAUAUACUAUGCAUGCAGUCUUUAUUGAAAUUUACCGACUAAUGAUGAUUUAAGUAAUUAAUCAGUUAAUGGACUGAUUGUGGUUAUUAUAAUACUCGAUGUUCACAUGUUGUGUGUUGAACUAGGCGUAUGUAAAUUCAUAUCCCAUUUCUAUCUAUCAACCAAAGACACAGCUAGAUAAUUUGUCAAAAAUAAUAUAAAAAACUCACGUGGUUAUUUUUUUUCUUUCACACAAGAGAAAAAAACUCUAAGGCUCUGUUUGGAUAACUUAAAACUAACGGAGCGGAAUAGAACAGAAUGGAAUGGAACGGAAUAAAGAUUCCAUUCCACUAUUUGGAUACUUUACGACAGAAUGAGUUAUAAAUAUUUUAUUCCAAUUUUACCCUUUAUUUAAAAAACGUCAAUAAAUAGAAUUUUC